rnacentral:ncRNA from 3 species
AACGUGUCGCGAUGGAUGACUUGGCUUCCU